rnacentral:rRNA from 1 species
GUGAACGCUGGCGGCAGGCCUAACACAUGCAAGUCGAACGGCAGCACAAGAGAGCUUGCUCUCUGGGUGGCGAGUGGCGGACGGGUGAGGAAUGCAUCGGAAUCUGCCCAUUUGUGGGGGAUAACCUCGGGAAACCGGGACUAAUACCGCAUACGACCUACGGGUGAAAGCAGGGGAUCUUCGGACCUUGCGCAGAUGGAUGAGCCGAUGCCGGAUUAGCUAGUUGGAGGGGUAAAGGCCCACCAAGGCGACGAUCCGUAGCUGGUCUGAGAGGAUGAUUAGCCACACUGGGACUGAGACACGGCCCAGACUCCUACGGGAGGCAGCAGUGGGGAAUAUUGGACAAUGGGCGCAAGCCUGAUCCAGCCAUGCCGCGUGUGUGAAGAAGGCCUUCGGGUUGUAAAGCACUUUUGUUGGGAAAGAAAAGCAGCCGGUUAAUACCCGGUUGUCAUGACGGUACCCAAAGAAUAAGCACCGGCUAACUUCGUG